rnacentral:lncRNA from 1 species
UAGGAGGCUCCCCCGGAGUAGGAGGGAUGGGCCGCCCCCUGCCCCUCAGUUCAUUGUCUGACUGAGGUCUGUGUCCUCUCAAAAUUCCUGUGUUGAAGUCCUAACCCCACAGUGAUGGUGUUAGGAGGUGGGAGCCUUUGGGAGAUAAUUCCUGAGGAUGGGGCCCUCAUGAAUGGAAUUUAAGUGACCUGAUAAGAAGAAACACAAGAAAGGAGCUCUCUCUCUUCACCAUGGGACAAUACAGGAAGAAAGCAGUCAUCUAUAAACCAGAAAGAGCUGUCACCUGGAACCAAAUCAGCCAGCACCUUGAUCUUGGACUUCCAGCCUCCAGAACUGAACUACUAAGGACACAAAACAGAAUACUUGGUCCGUGAGCCCCAGGUGACAGCACAGCAGGGGAGAUCAGCAGGGACCAACAGGAAAGUGUGUCAGGAAAAGACAGACAGGAUCUGCUCAUCUGGUCCACAGGGCUCACAUGGGCUUCUCUUUGAAGAUGCUGUCAGUGUUGAGUGAUAUGAUGAAACGUCGAAUCACUUUUGUUUAGUAAAAAAAAAAUUUGAAAGAGAAUGGCAAGCACCUGGGUCAGACAUAAAGAAAAAGAGAAUGGCCUUGUGACUACACUGCACCCACCUUCAGUAGUCGGGCAGGACUGGUGGGAGUUCCAUGUCAGGCCUGGACACAUUCUUCAAUUUUCUUCCAAAAUUCUGUGAUGAGCCCACAACCCAAGCAGAGCAUCAUCAGCCCACUGGAGGCCAGCUGCCCCUGUAGAGUGAGAAAACCCAAGAUGGUGGGCUUGCACACCCAGGAUGGCACUGUGUUCUACCACCUGUAAGGAGUUGUGUGUCUUUGGGCAAGUGACACAAAGUCUUUGAGCCCCAGUCUGUUCCACGGAAAACUGAGACAACACUUCCUACCCCAUAGAGUACUGUGAGAUUCACAUUUACCAUGAUUAGAGUUAAAUCGGGAAGACAGAACCAAACCAAUGACCACGAAAGGGUUUCUGACCCUACCUUAACUUCCCAACUACAGGCAGAAUUCAACAUUCUAAAUAAAACAGUCAUA